rnacentral:other from 1 species
GUCCUGAUGUGUCCGUAGUAUAACCUAUCGUUUGACCGAACAUUUUACCUUUGGGAGUUCGGAGUUUCUAAUUAGCGUACAUGCCUUACCUAAGAACUCACCUUCGUAGAGUUCUUACUCGGGACUUACAAUAGUUAGAAUAGAGCACCCACCUGCUUAGAGCGGGUUCAAACAAAGGCUAAACCACGACGGCAUAAUUGGGACU